rnacentral:rRNA from 1 species
GACGAACGCUGGCGGCGUGCUUAACACAUGCAAGUCGAACGGAAAGGCCCUGCUUUUGUGGGGUGCUCGAGUGGCGAACGGGUGAGUAACACGUGAGUAACCUGCCCUUGACUUUGAGAUAACUUCAGGAAACUGGGGCUAAUACCGGAUAGGAGCUCCUGCUGCAUGGUGGGGGUUGGAAAGUUUCGGCGGUUGGGGAUGGACUCGCGGCUUAUCAGCUUGUUGGUGGAGUAGUGGCUUACCAAGGCUUUGACGGGUAGCCGGCCUGAGAGGGUGACCGGCCACAUUGGGACUGAGAUACGGCCCAGACUCCUACGGGAGGCAGCAGUGGGGAAUAUUGCACAAUGGGCGGAAGCCUGAUGCAGCAACGCCGCGUGCGGGAUGACGGCCUUCGGGUUGUAAACCGCUUUCGCCUGUGACGAAGCGUGAGUGACGGUAAUGGGUAAAGAAGCACCGGCUAACUACGUG